CAAAUCAGAGCUUGAUAUUAAAGUAUUUUAGUUACAUUAAAAGGUUAAUUGUGGAAUUCAAUUUGAUUUGA
rnacentral:tRNA from 1 species